CUUCUCUUUACAAGGUUCCAGAUCUUGCCUAGCUCUAGUAACUUUAUUUUAUUUCUUUUUCCCUUUAGGUCUAAGGAUGAGAAGAGCAUCCUGCUGCUGCCACAAGUUAGAUAUAACUCCCUUUUCUCUUCCUCUAGCCUGUACACUGGCUAUGCAGUGGUCUCAAGUUCUACAGAGACAUGACUAGGUUUGACUUUAAAUUUAGGGAAAUGGUUGCGUGAGCUAAAUGUGUGUGCUCCCCCCAAAUAUAUAUAUUGAAAUUCUAAUCUCCAGUGUGACGGUAUGGACUGUACUGAGGGCACACUUACUGGACUCUGCCUCCAGUCAAUUACCAGGGCACUCAUUCUCCAGAUUGCUUGAGGACUCUCGUCAUGACAUUUCCAUAGAAUAUCAUGAAAUAGACACUGGAGCAAGCUGAAGUCUGUUUUGAGGUUUCUCUUUGGACCACUGUCUUAAUAAAUGAUUCUCAUCCCAGGGUCUGCUUCUGGAGAAUCUGAUCCAAGGUAAAGACCCUUAAUUUUGAGAAAGUAAGAUAUAUACACUCUAAGUAGUUAGUUAAUGACCCCAGAAUGGAUUUAUCAAAGUCAAUGGGGAAAAAAAUAACUAGGACAGAGAUAGCUAUUUUGUUGGCAAUAGAGGCG
rnacentral:lncRNA from 1 species